AGAGACAGCAGCAGCCGCGGUAAUACAGAGGGUGCGAGCAUUAAUCGGAUUUACUGGGCGUAAAGCGUGCGUAGGCGGCUUUUUAAGUCGGAUGUGAAAUCCCUGAGCUUAACUUAGGAAUUGCAUUCGAUACUGGGAAGCUAGAGUAUGGGAGAGGAUGGUAGAAUUCCAGGUGUAGCGGUGAAAUGCGUAGAGAUCUGGAGGAAUACCGAUGGCGAAGGCAGCCAUCUGGCCUAAUACUGACGCUGAGGUACGAAAGCAUGGGGAGCAAACAGGAUUAGAUACCCCAGUAGUCCCUGUCUCUUAUAC
rnacentral:rRNA from 1 species